CACAAACAUGCCCCUUCAUCCACACACGCUUCAGUCUUCUCAUUUGUAAGCCCUAAACCGUUGCUUUUUCAAAAAUCCAAUUGCAUCCUCAUUUGCCUUUCAUCACCUGCAAGGUUUCAUUGUUUAUUUCUUCCGCAAAAACGACGAAUUAGGAGCUUAUUGUGUUUGUGAGUUCCUUUAAUUGAGUUGAGAUUUUUUCUUGAUUUAGGGUAUGAUUCUCAUUUUAAUAGACGGUACUCAAUUGUUGUGUUGUUAUGAGUGAUUUUUGACAGGUCGGUCGGUUGUAUCAUUUUAUGAAUUGUUUAUUAAAAUUUUCAGAGAUUAAAUGAAUUGGUAACUAUCACGGGAGUUGAUUUUUGUAUAAGGUUUGUCAGAUGAAAACUUAUAAGGAGAACACCGUCACCGCUAGCGGUUUUCAUCGGAGGCUUAAAAUGGAAGGGAGAAAAAGAAUAGAGGUUAAAGAGACUCCUGAUGAUGAUGACUAUAUAUGCAGAAAGUAUGGUUAAAAGGACAGACAUUCUUGGUUUCAAAUACCCAAUAACCUUUUCCUUGCUGCUAAUGCUCACAGUUCUAUGCAAGGAAUAUAGUUUGUGUGAAAAAUGCUUUUCAUCAUGUAAGUUUAACUGUAAGUCUUGGUAUUCAGAACAUAAAAGUUAUUAAAAUAUUUGAAAAUCAUACCAUAGAUGGAACUUCAGCAAGAUAUCUGCUUGUUGUGCAAAGAAUCAAGUUCAAAAAAGAUCUACUAAAGAGCCAUAUGUCUCUCAAGUUGUUCACGUAGGAAACCACACAUGCCUUGCAAUAUUAAGUAACAAUUAUUAUGUAUUUAAAGUUUUUUCUUUAUAGAAUCUGGGAUUGAGAUGGUAGCCCAAUUUGUGUCUAGAUAGUUGAGUGCAAUAAAGUCUGGUAGUUUGCUGAUUUUA